CAGCCGCCCGGUAAUACCGGCGGCCCGAGUGGCGGUCACUAUUAUUGGGCUUAAAGCGUCCGUAGCCGGGUUGGGAAGUCCUCCGGGAAAUCUGGCCGCUUAACGGUCAGAAUGCCGGGGGAUACUCCCAGCCUAGGGAGCGGGAGAGGCCGAGGGGAUUCCCGGGGUAGGGGUGGAAUCCUAUAAUCCCGGGAGGACCACCUGUGGCGAAGGCGCUCGGCUGGAACGCGUCCGACGGUGGGGGACGAAGGCCAGGGGAGCAAACCGGAUUAGAUACCCGGGUAGUCCUGGCUGUAAACGAUGCGGACUUUGUGUCGGACAAGCUAUGAGCUUGUCCGGUGCCGGAGGGAAACCGUUAAGUCCGCCGCCUGGGGAGUACGGCCGCAAGGCUGAAACUUAAAGGAAUUGGCGGG
rnacentral:rRNA from 1 species